rnacentral:rRNA from 1 species
UACGAGGGGGGCGAGCGUUGUUCGGAAUUACUGGGCGUAAAGCGCGCGCAGGCGGUCUUCCAAGUCAGUGGUGAAAGCCCGGAGCUCAACUCCGGAACUGCCAUUGAAACUGUUAGACUUGAGGACGAGAGAGGUGAGUGGAAUUCCCAGUGUAGAGGUGAAAUUCGUAGAUAUUGGGAAGAACACCGGUGGCGAAGGCGGCUCACUGGCUCGUAUCUGACGCUCAGGCGCGACAGCGUGGGGAUCAAACAGG